GCCUGGCUGGCUCAGUUGGUAGAGCAUGUGACUCUUGAUCUUGGGGUUGUGAGUUCAAGCCCCACGUUGGGUG
rnacentral:tRNA from 1 species